rnacentral:misc_RNA from 1 species
AAAAGACAAUUAUUUUAUCAAUUUAAUUCAAACAUGAUAAUAUCCUUAGGUGUUUAGAACAUGCUCAUGAAGUUUGUUUAACCUACAAGAGAAAACACAAAGAAUAAAAUUGCAACAAACAAAAAGAAUUUUAAAACUACAAGUUCUAGGGUUCAGCCAUGAAACCACCAAUAUGAUUCAAAAUCAAAACAUACCCAAAUUUUCUCAUAUGCAUGGCUAAAGCUGGGAAAUUGGAAGCAGUGUUAUCAAGGCCAGAGGCGACACUAAGGCGAUAGAGU